rnacentral:tRNA from 2 species
UCCGGGGUAGCUCAACUGGCAGAUGCGCUCGGCUGUUAACCGAGAGGUUGUGGGUUCGAGUCCCACCCCCGGAG